rnacentral:rRNA from 1 species
GCUAUAAUUGUCAGCUAAGUGGCGCACGGGUGAGUAAUGUAUAGAUAACCUGCCCUUAAGAAAGGAAUAACAGUUGGAAACGACUGCUAAUGCCCUAUAUGCCUUUAAUACAUAAGUAUGCAAGGGAAACGCUUUAGUGCUUAAGGAUGGGUCUGUAUGGUAUCAGCUUGUUGGUGAGGUAAUGGCUCACCAAGGCUAUGACGCCUAACUGGUUUGAGAGGAUGAUCAGUCACACUGGAACUGAGACACGGUCCAGACUCCUACGGGAGGCAGCAGUGGGGAAUAUUGCACAAUGGACGAAAGUCUGAUGCAGCAACGCCGCGUGGAGGAUGACACAUUUCGGUGCGUAAACUCCUUUUAUAUAGGAAGAUAAUGACGGUACUAUAUGAAUAAGCACCGGCUAACUCCGUGCCAGCAGCCGCGGUAAUACGGAGGGUGCAAGCGUUACUCGGAAUCACUGGGCGUAAGGAGCGUGUAGGCGGGUAUAUAAGUCAGAAGUGAAAUCCAAUAGCUCAACUAUUGAACUGCUUUUGAAACUGUAUACCUAGAAUGUGGGAGAGGUAGAUGGAAUUUCUGGUGUAGGGGUAAAAUCCGUAGAGAUCAGAAGGAAUACCGAUUGCGAAGGCGAUCUACUGGAACAUUAUUGACGCUGAGACGCGAAAGCGUGGGGGAGCAAACAGGAUUAGAUACCCUGGUAGUCCACGCCCUAAACGAUGUACACUAGUUGUUGUGAGGCUCGACCUUGCAGUAAUGCAGUUAACACAUUAAGUGUACCGCCUGGGGAGUACGGUCGCAAGAUU